rnacentral:rRNA from 1 species
CGCGUAGGCGGCCGUUUAAGUCGGGGUGAAAGCCUGUGGCUCAACCACAGAAUUGCCUUCGAUACUGGACGGCUUGAGUAUGGUAGAGGUUGGUGGAACUGCGAGUGUAGAGGUGAAAUUCGUAGAUAUUCGCAAGAACACCGGUGGCGAAGGCGGCCAACUGGACCAUUACUGACGCUGAGGCGCGAAAGCGUGGGGAGCAAACA